GACAUAGGUCGCGAACGUUAUCCGGAAUUAUUGGGCGUAAAGGAUGCGUAGGUGGUUCGGUAAGUUACUGGUGGAAAAUCAAGGCUCAACCUUGUGGAAGUUAGUAAUACUGCUGAACUUGAGUACAGGAGAGGUUAAUGGAAUGAUUCGUGGAGGGGUAAAAUCCACAGAUAUGAGUUAGAACAUCAAUAUGGCGAAGGCAAUUAACUAUUCUGCUACUGACAUUGAGGCAUGAAAGCGUGGGUAGCAAAACGG
rnacentral:rRNA from 1 species